rnacentral:rRNA from 1 species
AUUGAACGCUGGCGGCAUGCUUUACACAUGCAAGUCGAACGGCAGCGCGGGCUUCGGCCUGGCGGCGAGUGGCGAACGGGUGAGUAAUACAUCGGAACGUGCCCAGUAGUGGGGGAUAGCUCGGCGAAAGCCGGAUUAAUACCGCAUACGACCUGAGGGUGAAAGCGGGGGAUCUUCGGACCUCGCGCUAUUGGAGCGGCCGAUGGCAGAUUAGCUAGUUGGUGGGGUAAAGGCCUACCAAGGCGACGAUCUGUAGCUGGUCUGAGAGGACGACCAGCCACACUGGGACUUGGACACGGCCCAGACUCCUACGGGAGGCAGCAGUGGGGAAUUUUGGACAAUGGGCGAAAGCCUGAUCCAGCAAUGCCGCGUGUGUGAUGAAGGCCUUCGGGUUGUAAAGCACUUUUGGCGGGAACGAAAAGGACUGUGCCAAUACCACGGUUCGAUGACGGUACCCGCAGAAUAAGCACCGGCUAACUACGUG